rnacentral:rRNA from 1 species
ACGGGUGAGUAACACGUGGGUAACCUGCCCUUGAGACUGGGAUAACUUCGGGAAACCGGAGCUAAUACCGGAUAAUAUAAGGAACCUCCUGGUUCCUUGUUGAAAGAUGGUUUCGGCUAUCACUUAAGGAUGGGCCCGCGGCGCAUUAGCUAGUUGGUGAGGUAACGGCUCACCAAGGCGACGAUGCGUAGCCGACCUGAGAGGGUGAUCGGCCACACUGGGACUGAGACACGGCCCAGACUCCUACGGGAGGCAGCAGUAGGGAAUCUUCCACAAUGGACGAAAGUCUGAUGGAGCAACGCCGCGUGAGUGAUGAAGGCCUUCGGGUCGUAAAGCUCUGUUGUUAGGGAAGAACAAGUGCGAGAGUAACUGCUCGCACCUUGACGGUACCUAACCAGAAAGCCACGGCUAACUACGUGCCAGCAGCCGCGGUAAUACGUAGGUGGCAAGCGUUAUCCGGAAUUAUUGGGCGUAAAGCGCGCGCAGGUGGUUUCUUAAGUCUGAUGUGAAAGCCCACGGCUCAACCGUGGAGGGUCAUUGGAAACUGGGGAACUUGAGUGCAGAAGAGGAAAGUGGAAUUCCAA